AAAUUGAAGAGUUUGAUCAUGGCUCAGAUUGAACGCUGGCGGCAGGCCUAACACAUGCAAGUCGAACGGUAACAGGAAGCAGCUUGCUGCUUCGCUGACGAGUGGCGGACGGGUGAGUAAUGUCUGGGAAACUGCCUGAUGGGGGGGGAUAACUACUGGAAACGGUAGCUAAUACCGCAUAACGUCGCAAGACCAAAGAGGGGGACCUUCGGGCCUCUUGCCAUC
rnacentral:rRNA from 1 species